rnacentral:rRNA from 2 species
AGCGAAAUGCGAUAAGUGGUGUGAAUUGCAGAAUCCCGUGAACCAUCGAGUCUUUGAACGCAAGUUGCGCCCAAGGCCAUCAGGCUAAGGGCACGCCUGCCUGGGCGUCGUGUGCUGCAUCUCUUUUGCCAAUGCUUGCCCGACAUACAAUUAGGACAGUAUUGCAU